GACGAACGCUGGCGGCGUGCCUAACACAUGCAAGUCGAACGGAGAUACGAUUUCGGUUGUAUCUUAGUGGCGAACGGGUGAGUAACGCGUGAGCAACCUGACUCUUAGAGGGGGAUAACACCUGGAAACAAGUGCUAAUACCGCAUAAGACCACGACAUGGCAUCAUGACGAGGUCAAAGGAGCAAUCCGCUGAGAGAGGGGCUCGCGUCCCAUUAGAUAGAUGGCGGGGUAACGGCCCACCAUGUCAGCGAUGGGUAGCCGAGCUGAGAGGCUGAUCGGCCACACUGGAACUGAGACACGGUCCAGACUCCUACGGGAGGCAGCAGUGGGGAAUAUUGGGCAAUGGGCGCAAGCCUGACCCAGCAACGCCGCGUGAGGGUAGAAGGCUUUCGGGUUGUAAACCUCUGUCCUUGGUGACGAAAAAAAUGACGGUAGCCAAGGAGGAAGCCCCGGCUAACUACGUGCCAGCCGCCGCAGUAA
rnacentral:rRNA from 1 species